rnacentral:tRNA from 1 species
GCGAGAGUGGUGAAAUUGGCAGACACGCUAGACUUAGGAUCUAGUGCCGUAAGGUAUAAGGGUUCGAGUCCCUUCUCUCGCA